UACAGAGGUCCCGAGCGUUUGUUCGGAUUCACUGGGCGUAAAGCGUGCGUAGACGGCUAUCUAAGUCGGGUGUGAAAGCCCCGGGCUCAACCUGGGAAUUGCAUUCGAGACUGAAUAGCUAGGGUACGGUAGAGGGAAGCGGAAUUUCCGGUGUAGCGGUGAAAUGCGUAGAUAUCGUAAGGAAGACCAGUGGCGAAGGCGGGUCUCUGGACAGUUCCUGACGCUGAGGCACGAAGGU
rnacentral:rRNA from 1 species